GUCAGGGUUAGAGGACAGACCGUUCAGAAGUCAGCGUGAUUGAAGGCAUUUUAAAAAUUAUGUCAGAUCUUUCUCUUCUGCACCGUGGCAAUGUUUCCGGAUGCUUCAUUUUUAUUAAAACGAGGCUCCUGCCACUCCUUGCAGCUGCAACCAGAUGUACCAAGGAAGGAUGAGAAGAAAGUGAGAAGAAGGGGAAUAAAAGAAGGUGAUGAAAAUGUUCUAAACCUGAUCGUGUUGGUUGCCAGCAACCCUGUGAAUAUAUUAAAAAUCAUUGAAUUGUACAUUUUACGUGAAUGAAUUGUGUGAUGUGGUAGACAGAAUAAUGUCCCCUUAAAGAUGUCUAUGUCCUGAACUUCAGAGCCUGUGAAUAUGUUAGCAUACCUGGCAAAGAAGAAUUAAGUUUGCAGAUGAAAUUAAUUCAGUUGCUAAUUAGCUGACUUUAAGACAGGAAGUUUAGCCUGGAUUACCCAGGUAAGCCCAAUGUAAUCACAAACGACCUUAAAAGUAGAAGAUGGAAUAUGAAGAGAGAACCAGAGAGGCAGCAUCUUGAGAAAGACUCAGCCCAGUGUUGCUGGCCUUGAAGAUGGAGGAAGGGAGCCACGAGCCGAGGAGGGCAGGUGGCCUCUAGAAGCUGGGAAGGGCAAGGAAAUCCAUUCUCCCCUAGGACCUUCAGAAAGAAACUCAGCCCUGCCAAUACCUCGAUCUUUGUCCAGUGAGAUUUGUGUCACGCUUCUGAUCCAUGGAACAAGAUAGUAAAUUUGUGUUACUUUAAGUCACUAAGUGUGUGGUAAUUUGUUGCAGCGUCAGUAGAAAACUAAUAUAUACGGUAUGUGAGUUAUAUGUAAAUAAAGCUGUUUAAAAAAAUGAUUGUUUUCUUAGGUGGCAUAAAUAGAAGUAUGACGUCUGGAAGGGUGGAGGUGAUAGUCUCUUUGCAAUCUAAGUGAGGCAGACUCCAUCUGGAGCUCAGCUCUGAAUGCCACACUGUAAGAGGAA
rnacentral:lncRNA from 10 species